rnacentral:rRNA from 1 species
CUGGCGGCAGGCCUAACACAUGCAAGUCGAACGGUAACAGGAAGCAGCUUGCUGCUUUGCUGACGAGUGGCGGACGGGUGAGUAAUGUCUGGGAAACUGCCUGAUGGAGGGGGAUAACUACUGGAAACGGUAGCUAAUACCGCAUAACGUCGCAAGACCAAAGAGGGGGACCUUCGGGCCUCUUGCCAUCGGAUGUGCCCAGAUGGGAUUAGCUAGUAGGUGGGGUAAAGGCUCACCUAGGCGACGAUCCCUAGCUGGUCUGAGAGGAUGACCAGCCACACUGGAACUGAGACACGGUCCAGACUCCUACGGGAGGCAGCAGUGGGGAAUAUUGCACAAUGGGCGCAAGCCUGAUGCAGCCAUGCCGCGUGUAUGAAGAAGGCCUUCGGGUUGUAAAGUACUUUCAGCGGGGAGGAAGGGAGUAAAGUUAAUACCUUUGCUCAUUGACGUUACCCGCAGAAGAAGCACCGGCUAACUCCGUGCCAGCCGCCGCGGUAAUU